GUGCUCGAUUCGGCAACACAUAUACUAAAAUUGGAAUGACACAGAGAUUAGCAUGGCCCCUGCACAAGGGUAAUACACAAAUUCACGAAGUGUUCCAUAUAAAA
ensembl:snRNA U6 U6 spliceosomal RNA